rnacentral:rRNA from 1 species
AUGCGAAAUUUGGGGAAGCGCGCGAAGCGGGGCGGACCGCGGUGUUCGGACGAGACAGGGCAUAGACGCCUCGAUCCCCGCGCCGCUUUUUUCGCCACGUAUCGCGUCCGCGUAACUGUUCAGGAUAUGAUUAGAUCGACCGGAUCCACCUGUCAUCCACUCGGAAGGGAUCUUAUAAAUGCGCCCGGCGAGGGUUUUUUGAACAGUGCCCCAGCAUUCUCUCUCUGCUCCCUUCGUCUCCACCCAACGCGCUCGCUCUCGCCUCCGCACAACUUCCCCUCGCGCGUCCCGCCGGCAGCCAUGGUCAAGGAGAAGACGGCGGUGUUGGAACGCGCAAAGAAGGCGUUGGUGACGGAGAAGGCGAAGGGGAGAUCCACCAGUCGUGGCGGGUCUUUGUCUAGAUCUCGCCUGCCGAAAGGCUGGGUCCAGGGAGAUUGGAUCCAGUCGACCAUCACGGAGAAGGAUCUCCUCGACAUGGCCAACGAGGGCCUGAUCCCUCAUGGAGCUGCGAGGCUUUCGGGGAAAGAGUGGCAGCCCCAGCCGGAAGAGGGUGAGUGCGUGCUUCUGGCUACCCAUGUCGACCGCGGAUUUUCUUUGCCGCCGAGCAUUUUCUUCCGUGGUUUCUUGAACUUCUUUGGAGCGCAACUCCACCACUUCACCCCGAAUUCUAUCGCCUAUCUUGCCGCGUUUGUGUCCAUGUGUGAGAGUUUCCUGGGUUGUCGACCGCAUUGGGGUUUGUUCAAGCACAUAUUCACGUGUCGCUCUCAGACCGUGAAGAAGGCGAGCCCAGGCGACGAAAAAACCCGAGUUGUCCAAAUGUGUGGGGGUCUGGGGAUCCAGGUGAGGAACAAGAGCACCUUCCCAGCCAUGACAUUUCCCGAGUCAGUCAGAGGCUGGCAGUCGACCUGGUUCUACUGCCAGGAUCAGUCGACGCCGGGGCAGUCGAGUGGACUCCCUCAGUUCACCAUGGGCCGAGUGAACAAGCCCUCCUCUCUAAAGGUGAUUCCGAAGGAGAAAGCUGACGUGAAGAUGCUGAUGGAGCAUGUAGUUCAGUUGGUUCGGGAGGGAGUGACGGGUAUGGAUCUCCUGGAGGUUUUCCUUAGGCGUCGUAUCCAGCCUCUUCAGUUCCGGAGCCAUUGCAUGUGGUUGUACUGCGGGACUGAGGAUGUGACUCGGGUCAAUCCAGAAACAGUCGACGAUGCCACUCUAGAAAGGUGGAUGGCCGCUGUUACUGGGAACAAGGAUAACCCUCGCAGAGCCAGAAGGAUUCCUCCACUCGACUGCCACAGUGAUCCAAAUAAGGCCCUCACUGAGCUGUACUCGAUGCCCAACGGAGCACAGGCUCCGACUGAGGAGGGAGAAGCGAGCGGGGGCGAGAGCCAGGAGGAGGAGUGGGACUCGGACGCCGCUGAGGAUGAUGAUGAUGAUGACGAUGAUGACGAUGAUGAUGAUGAUGGUGAGGACGAGGAAGAGGAGGAGGAGGAGGUUGCACCACCGCUCGGAAAGGCGGUCGAAGCUUGUCCAUGA